UAGAAUUCCACGUGUAGCAGUGAAAUGCGUAGAGAUGUGGAGGAAUACCGAUGGCGAAGGCAGCCUCCUGGGAUAACACUGACGUUCAUGCUCGAAAGCGUGGGUAGCAAACAGGAUUAGAUACCCUGGUAGUCCACGCCCUAAACGAUGACAAUUAGCUGUUGGGACACUAGAUGUUUUAGUAGCGAAGCUAACGCGUGAAAUUGUCCGCCUGGGGAGUACGGUCGCAAGAUUAAAACUCAAAGGAAUUGACGGGGAACCCGCCCCAAGCGGUGGGAUGAUGUGGAUUAAUUCGAUGCAACGCGAAGAACCUUACCUGGUCUUGACAUGUACGGAAUCUCUUAGAGAUAGGAGAGUGCCUUCGGGAGCCGUAACACAGGUGCUGCAUGGCUGUCGUCAGCUCGUGUCGUGAGAUGUUGGGUUAAGUCCCGCAACGAGCGCAACCCUUGUCAUUAGUUGCCAUCAUUAAGUUGGGCACUCUAAUGAGACUGCCGGUGACAAGCCGGAGGAAGGUGGGGAUGACGUCAAGUCCUCAUGGCCCUUAUGACCAGGGCUUCACACGUCAUACAAUGGUCGGUACAGAGGGUAGCGAAGCCGCGAGGUGAAGCCAAUCUCAGAAAGCCGAUCGUAGUCCGGAUUGCACUCUGCAACUCGAGUGCAUGAAGUCGGAAUCGCUAGUAAUCGCAGGUCAGCAUAG
rnacentral:rRNA from 2 species